ensembl:lncRNA
CCCCUGGCCACGACGCCGGGCACUUUUCUCGCGAGCCUGGGGCGCCCGCAGAGUCUCACCCGGGGUGCCCAGAGUUCCGGAGGGCGCGGGGGAGCCCGAAGGGGCGGGCAUGGCCCGCACGCCUCGGGCCCGGGGCGCGAGGAGAGGGAACCCGCCGCGGGCCCCCAGCCGGGGAAGCGGCCCAGAUCGACGGCCCCGCGUGCCGAGGGCUCGUCCCCAAGGCGGCCGCCAGAGGGCGCGGCGGGGCCCGGGGAGCGCUGGCCCGCCGAGCGAGCGUCGCCUCUUUCCCGCCCUCCGGGGGAGGAAAUGUGGGGGCCCGGCUGGGGCUCCGCGGCUGGGGCUCGGCGGCCGGCCCUGAGCGCUCCGCCUCGCGCUGCUCUGAGCUCCAGCACGUGGGCGGCUGCGGGGAGCGGUCGGGCGCGUGCACUGUGCGGAGCUGCGAUCCGGGAGCUGGGGGGGGCGUGUCCGAGGGGCGCCCCCGGAAGGGACGUGGGGCCGGGAUCCCGACGGGGACACAGCUGCUGGCUGCUGUCCCAAUCCGGGAACGUGCAGCGCACACCCGGGAGCGGUGCCCACUGCGGAGAGCCGCCGCACCUGCCCGGGCCGCCACGUCCCCCUGGCUCCGUUUGAUGCGUAAGUGACUGGCAACCCGCGCCACAGCAGCCCCACGUCUCCUCCGUGGCUCUCUCGAGUGUGCCUGAGACAUUUCCCCGAGGCGCGACGUCUCCAGAGCUGCCAUCGGAUGCACAAAUACUGCGGAGCCAGGUCCUCAAAGGGGGAAACAGCCCAGCAAUGGCUGGAAGGAGUUCGAAAAGACGUGGACUUUUUGAAAAUAGUGAUUGGACCACGUGUCGCUCUUAAUGUGGUCGGGUUGCAUGACUCAGGCUAAUUGAUGUCAGUGAUAAAUAAAAAAAGAAGAUGGCUAAUAGAAGGAUUGUGAUUUAACAGAUCGAGGAGAAAAAGUGCCUCAAUCAGGCUGGCUGGUAAAGGGGACUUGGUCUAUAGGAAGGAAAGGUUUAUUGCUUGGGAGUUGUAAAAGAUUUCUGCAUUACGCUGCGCACCCAUCUUUCUGACACCCUGCCUUGGAGCCAGCCCAUUAUGGACAGAAACCUCUACAAACUAAAUUUUUUAUGACAACGUCAACAUGUCAAGCACCAACAGGCUACAAAAUAGAGAUCUCCCUUGAACUUAUGUACCUCCUUCUGCUGUUUUGCCAUAUGGAGACUGCAUCUGCAGAAUAAUGUUUUGUUCUGACCACUGAUCAACCAGACAACUGAACACUCACUCAUGGACCAUAGAAAAGGGCUGGUCCCUACAUCACAUGGGGAGUGAAUAAGAUAUUAGACAUUAAGAGAAGUUCGGUAUGACUUCUGCUUUCAAAUACCUGAAAAUUGGCCACUAUUCUUCAUGCUGGACAAACUAAACUAAUGAGAAGAAAAUAUGCCAGUUCUUUGACAGAAUUUUCUGUAUUUUUCCGUUGACAUAAAUAAUUAGUAUUAUUUUGCAGUCUCUGCUUGCAACAGUGCUUUAUGUGGGAAAGAGAGCCCUCUUCAUCAGAAUGUCCAUUCACAUACAGAGCCCACAUCUGCUAGAAGAAUCUGGUCCACAGAAGCACCUUAUCAACUGAGAAGAUGUUGGGAUGACAUUUGAGAUCCCUUCCAAGCCCAGGAUCACUGAAUCUUCUAAUUCUGUGCUUGGAAUACCAUGUCCAGCAGGCUGCAGAAGGAACUUGGCUUUGCUUGAAAAUGUAUAGUGUUCUUCAAAGUUGAAGAUGCAUGAGUUCAGAAGGCUAUUACAUCUAUCUUACGUUAUAGAAAGGCUGAUGAAUUUGCUCCUGAAAGAGUUUCAAGGCCCAGUUCCAACAGGCUGAGAAGCCAAGUUAGGAAACCAGGUAUUGCUUUCAAAUCAGUCCUAUUGAAGGAGAUGGUUGGAACAGGUGGGAGUAGAGAUGGAGGUUAAGAUAGUGAUUGAUAUGCAGGUAAAUUUUUGAUGUAGGCUAUGGGAGGGGGAUGUCCUGAUUUGCUAAGUUUGCCAAUUUCACUGAUACGAAUAUUCCCACUAUGACCAACUUGGUCAACCAUUGUGACAUUAUUGGGUACAUAUUCCAAAGAGAUGCACCCUGUUAACUCUUACAAGACAGUUUGAGCUUGCUCCAGUAAAUCCCUGGGUUAAGAUAUCCAAGAAUCUUGUUUUGCCUUUGUAACAAAUAAAAUAUUAUUCAGUAACCAAGCCAGUACAAAAAUAGCAGUAGCCAUAAGCAGGCAUUUCACAACAGAAGAAACCAGAAUAUCCAAUAAGAUAUACUCAGGUCCAUGUGUGGCAAAAUUAAGAAUUGGACAGUACCAACUAUUAACAAGGAUAGAUGGAGAGAAUUGAAUUUGCUGCUGCUGGGAAGAUAAAUUAGUCCGUCCACUUUGGAGAGCAAUUUGGCAAUAUCCAAAGUUUAAAAAUAUACCUACCCAACAACCCAGCAAUUCCAUUCAUAAAGAGAAUAUUCUAAAAGCUCUUGACUCAUGCACUAGAAGACACAUAUAAGAAUGUUAAUUAGAACACUGUUUCAAUAGUAAAAAAACAAGAAACAAUCUAAUUGUCUCUUGGAGGAAGGAUGAAAAACGGUGCUUUAUUUGUGCAAUAGAAUACUAUACAGAGGUUAAAAUGAAUGAACUAGGUCUAAGUGAAUCAACGUAGAUUUAACAGCCAAUAUUGUGCAAAUGAGCAAUUUGCAAAG